rnacentral:rRNA from 1 species
AUCGAACGCUGGCGGCAGGCCUAACACAUGCAAGUCGAGCGAGCGGCGGACGGAUGAGUAAAGUCGGGGAAACUGCCUGAUGGCGGGGGAUAACAACUGGAAACGGGAGCUAAUACCGCAUACCAUCAGAUGUGCCCAGAUGGGAUUAGGUAGUAGGUGGGGUAACGGCUCACCUAGGCGACGAUCCCUAGCUGGUCUGAGAGGAUAACCAGCCAACUUGGAACGGCGACACGGUCCGUACUCCUCCGGGAGGCAGCAGUGGGAAUUAUUGCACAUUGGGCGCAAGCCUGAUGCAGCCCUCCCGCGUAUGUGAAGAAGUCCUUCGGGUUGUAAAGCACUUUCAGCGGGGAGACGUUACCCGCAGAGGAAGCACCGGCUAACUCCGUGCCAGCAGCCGCGGUAAUUC